CUUGGCGGCAAUAGCGAGUGGGAACCACCUGAAUCCAUCCCGAACUCAGAAGUGAAACCACUUAGCGCCGAUGGUAGUGUGGGGCUUCCCCAUGUGAGAGUAGGUCACCGCCAAGC
rnacentral:rRNA from 1 species